ACAGUUGGGCUUGGAAGGGAGCCUGAAGAACAACAUCUUGUUCCCAGCUGAGCAGUCUUCCCCCAGAGCGUGCUGCUCAGAGCCCUGUUGCCAAGGAUGGGGCAUGCACAGCCUCUGUGCACAGCCUGGGUUUUUCUGUUUGAAAGGAAGCUUGGCACAAUGUCCAUUGUCUUCUCCAUUUGUGAAACACUAAGUGGAGUGUGGGUAGGCUGAUAUGCAGAGCAAAACCUGAAAAUAUACUAGUGAUCCUGAGCCUGGGGGAUGCAGCUAAACCCAGCCAAAAGGAAUUUCUGGAAAGCUGAUCGUGGUUUACAUUGUCUUGAGUUUGGCUUUGCCAACUUCACCAGUCAGUUAUGAAAAAGCAAACAAAAAACUCAAACCAAAUCAGACAAAAACCCAAACAAAUAAAGAAACAAACAAACCCAUGCAAACUGAUCCAACAAAUAGAUAAAAAACCCCAAAUAAAACCACUGGAAAUGAAGAGUUUGUAUUAGUUGUGAGGAUAGCACAGCAGGCAAAUGGCUGCUUCCCACAGGAUCACCAUCAAAAGCCACAUAGAACAGCUGCUCCAAAAUAUACCCAACAGGAGAAAAAGAAAAAGUGAUGCAUGGCAACUUUGGGGGCAUCUCCACAUUCAGGUGAAGGAUGAGCACGCAGUGGUACAGAUCCAGCAUUGCCCACCCUCCAGGCUACUCUUUGCUCCUGAUGAAAGACCCUUGCAGGACUGUGGCUCCUCUCAGUGCAGUGUCAGUCACUGCCAGAGCUCUCAGCUGAGCCACUGGCAUUUCCAGAGUGACAUCCAGCUGCAAUCCUACUGCCUGCUGGGCAUCUGUGGAAGAUCCUGCGCAUCUUCAUGCCUAGGACUGCCGCUUCUCCGGCUGGCUGAUGACAAGAGAGGGGGCUGCAGGUUCCCCCUGGAGCUCCGUUGAAUCCCACUUGUCAAUUGUUUUGGUGCAAUAUAAAACACAGGCAGCGCACACGGGUCCCAGGGAAACUUUAUUUGAUGGUAAACUUCCCCUUUUCCUCUCCUGGGACCCCGAUCAAGGGGCAAACAAAGACUUCUGUGCAGGGGGAGGUCAGGGGUAGGCACAACUUUCAACAAAUCAGGAGAGUUGGGAGUAAAAAUCCUAGGCAGGGAUAACAGCAGUGAACCAAUAACAUUCCAAAGGAGGAAAAGCGGUUUCAAUAAGCAGCUAAAAUUUGGAGAAAUAGAAACUGGAAACUAGUUGAUGAAAUAACUGGGAAAAGGCGGAGACAAAAGGAAAACAGCACCAAGGAAAACCACCAAAUCACAAAUCAAACCAUAAACCUACUAAUAAACCAAAAAGCACAAUACAACAUCUGCUCGUUCUUAAAUACAAAAAGGACAUUAAAGUUUAUCUAAAAGAACAAAAGUUAUUAGUGUAAUAAAUCAUAAAAUUUUACAAACGUAAAAUAAAACAAAUUAUAAUUUAAAAAUUUUUCAAAAACUCAAAUAAUUUUGGAUAUGUCUAAUUUAGCUUAUACUUGUCUUGUUUUUCACUGAUUAUGCAUUUUAACUAUAAUUUUAUUCAUUUCUUCAAUUCACUGCGAAAUAAUAUCUUAAUUUUUGAAUAAUUAGCUGGUAAAAAUUGGGCUCAAAAGGUAAUUAAAAAAUUGUUUUAAAUUGUCAAACAAAAACUCUUUUAAGUGGCAAACUUAAAAAGAAUUUAACAUUUCAUAGAAAGCUUACCAUUUCAUAAAAGGAUGUUCCAUAGAAAGAUGUUUCAUAGUUUCCAGGAGUUAAAUGUGUAAAACAAACAAAUUUAUUUCAUGUUAAAUAAAUAUAAAUUUUCUUUUCAUUUUGACUCAAAACUUAUGAUUUAAAACUUGAAGGUAUGGUAUUAAAUUGAUUAAAAACCAAUUGGCUCCUGGUUACUAUUUUUUUAACAAUUUAACAUUUCUUUUAUUAAUACAACUACAAUUUAUUUCAUAACACAAAGCAAAGCAAUGAGAUGUUCUUCACAGAAAUUUGGCUGAUCUUGUCUGUUUCAAAACUUCAGUUAUCUUGUUCUUCUGUUGGGAAACUCAAGUUUGAAGGUUUUCUCUCUUCAAGGAAAUUCAGUUCAGAAAAUGGUCAUGAUCAAAUGUAGCAUAGUAGACUUCGGUGUAGUUAUAACAUUCUUUUUUCUAUAACAUGCAACUGAACAACUGGGUUAGUUUUCCAAAAUGAUUUCAAAUAUGACAAACAACUCAUUUUUUUAAAAACCAUACAAAAACAUAUGUUCAAAAUAAAACCACUUAAUUCUUCAAAACUGAAAACCUGUAUAGUAUUUGAACUUUUAUAAAUUUAAUCAAAUGAAUAAUCUUUUACUUCUGUAAAAAGCACUGUUUAAAAAUCUUUAAAAAGGUAUUUUGCAUUUUCAAAUCACAUUAAUAACUUUUCAAAUUAACAAACUAAUUAUUAUUAAAACUCAAUUGUUAUAAAACCUCUAAUUAAUUUAAAGCAAAAACUUUAAGUUCACCCUUUAAUAUCAUCACUGUGAGUAUAGCCUUUGCA